rnacentral:rRNA from 1 species
GACGAACGCUGGCGGCGUGCUUAACACAUGCAAGUCGAACGGUAAGGCCCUUCGGGGUACACGAGUGGCGAACGGGUGAGUAACACGUGGGUGAUCUGCCCUGCACUUUGGGAUAAGCCUGGGAAACUGGGUCUAAUACCGAAUACACCCUGCUGGUCGCAUGGCCUGGUGGGGGAAAGCUUUUGCGGUGUGGGAUGGGCCCGCGGCCUAUCAGCUUGUUGGUGGGGUGAUGGCCUACCAAGGCGACGACGGGUAGCCGGCCUGAGAGGGUGACCGGCCACACUGGGACUGAGAUACGGCCCAGACUCCUACGGGAGGCAGCAGUGGGGAAUAUUGCACAAUGGGCGCAAGCCUGAUGCAGCGACGCCGCGUGAGGGAUGACGGCCUUCGGGUUGUAAACCUCUUUCAAUAGGGACGAAGCGCAAGUGACGGUACCUAUAGAAGAAGGACCGGCCAACUACGUGCCAGCAGCCGCGGUAAUACGUAGGGUCCGAGCGUUGUCCGGAAUUACUGGGCGUAAAGAGCUCGUAGGUGGUUUGUCGCGUUGUUCGUGAAAACCCACAGCUUAACUGUGGGCGUGCGGGCGAUACGGGCAGACUUGAGUACUGCAGGGGAGACUGGAAUUCCUGGUGUAGCGGUGGAAUGCGCAGAUAUCAGGAGGAACACCGGUGGCGAAGGCGGGUCUCUGGGCAGUAACUGACGCUGAGGAGCGAAAGCGUGGGGAGCGAACAGGAUUAGAUACCCUGGUAGUCCACGCCGUAAACGGUGGGUACUAGGUGUGGGUUUCCUUCCUUGGGAUCCGUGCCGUAGCUAACGCAUUAAGUACCCCGCCUGGGGAGUACGGCCGCAAGGCUAAAACUCAAAGGAAUUGACGGGGGCCCGCACAAGCGGCGGAGCAUGUGGAUUAAUUCGAUGCAACGCGAAGAACCUUACCUGGGUUUGACAUGCACAGGACGCCGGCAGAGAUGUCGGUUCCCUUGUGGCCUGUGUGCAGGUGGUGCAUGGCUGUCGUCAGCUCGUGUCGCGAGAUGUUGGGUUAAGUCCCGCAACGAGCGCAACCCUUGUCUCAUGUUGCCAGCACGUUAUGGUGGGGACUCGUGAGAGACUGCCGGGGUCAACUCGGAGGAAGGUGGGGAUGACGUCAAGUCAUCAUGCCCCUUAUGUCCAGGGCUUCACACAUGCUACAAUGGCCGGUACAAAGGGCUGCGAUGCCGUGAGGUGGAGCGAAUCCUUUCAAAGCCGGUCUCAGUUCGGAUCGGGGUCUGCAACUCGACCCCGUGAAGUCGGAGUCGCUAGUAAUCGCAGAUCAGCAACGCUGCGGUGAAUACGUUCCCGGGCCU